rnacentral:rRNA from 1 species
CAAGGCGAUGAUGCAUAGCCGAGUUGAGAGACUGAUCGGCCACAUUGGGACUGAGACACGGCCCAAACUCCUACGGGAGGCAGCAGUAGGGAAUCUUCCACAAUGGACGCAAGUCUGAUGGAGCAACGCCGCGUGAGUGAAGAAGGUUUUCGGAUCGUAAAGCUCUGUUGUUGGUGAAGAAGGAUAGAGGUAGUAACUGGCCUUUAUUUGACGGUAAUCAACCAGAAAGUCACGGCUAACUACGUGCCAGCAGCCGCGGUAAUACGUAGGUGGCAAGCGUUGUCCGGAUUUAUUGGGCGUAAAGCGAGCGCAGGCGGAAGAAUAAGUCUGAUGUGAAAGCCCUCGGCUUAACCGAGGAACUGCAUCGGAAACUGUUUUUCUUGAGUGCAGAAGAGGAGAGUGGAACUCCAUGUGUAGCGGUGGAAUGCGUAGAUAUAUGGAAGAACACCAGUGGCGAAGGCGGCUCUCUGGUCUGCAACUGACGCUGAGGCUCGAAAGCAUGGGUAGCGAACAGGAUUAGAUACCCUGGUAGUCCAUGCCGUAAACGAUGAGUGCUAAGUGUUGGGAGGUUUCCGCCUCUCAGUGCUGCAGCUAACGCA